rnacentral:misc_RNA from 1 species
ACAAAUCCAAAUAUUGUGUGUGGGGUUUUACUCUAUAUAUAUAACAAAUAUUAAACCGCCAAAAGAUGGAAACGUCUUUUGGUGUUUAUAUAUAAAUACAUGUUGUGUUGACAAGUGUGAGUGACUUUUAAAUUAUUGA